GAUGAAGAACGCAGCGAAAUGCGAUAAGUAAUGUGAAUUGCAGAAUUCAGUGAAUCAUCGAAUCUUUGAACGCACAUUGCGCCCGCCAGUAUUCUGGCGGGCAUGCCUGUUCGAGCGUCAUUUCAACCAUCAAGCCCCCGGGCUUGUGUUGGGGACCUGCGGCUGCCGCAGGCCCUGAAAACCAGUGGCGGGCUCGCUAGUCACUCCGAGCGUAGUAGUUACAUCUCGCUCAGGGCGUGCUGCGGGUUCCGGCCGUUAAAAGCCUUUUACCCCAAGGUUGACCUCGGAUCAGGUAGGAAGACCCGCUGACCUUAAGCAUAUCAAUAAGCGGAGGA
rnacentral:misc_RNA from 1 species